GACGAACGCUGGCGGCGUGCCUAAUACAUGCAAGUUGAGCGCUGAAGGUUGGUACUUGUACCAACUGGAUGAGCAGCGAACGGGUGAGUAACGCGUGGGGAAUCUGCCUUUGAGCGGGGGACAACAUUUGGAAACGAAUGCUAAUACCGCAUAAAAACUUUAAACACAAGUUUUAAGUUUGAAAGAUGCAAUUGCAUCACUCAAAGAUGAUCCCGCGUUGUAUUAGCUAGUUGGUGAGGUAAAGGCUCACCAAGGCGAUGAUACAUAGCCGACUUGAGAGGGUGAUCGGCCACAUUGGGACUGAGACACGGCCCAAACUCCUACGGGAGGCAGCAGUAGGGAAUCUUCGGCAAUGGACGAAAGUCUGACCGAGCAACGCCGCGUGAGUGAAGAAGGGUUUCGGAUCGUAAAACUCUGUUGGUAGAGAAGAACGUUGGUGAGAGUGGAAAGCUCAUCAAGUGACGGUAACUACCCAGAAAGGGACGGCUAACUACGUG
rnacentral:rRNA from 1 species